rnacentral:rRNA from 1 species
UUACUAGAUUUAUUAUUUAUAUAUAUUCACGAAAAGAGGUGAGUUAAAUAUAAUCAAUUAUAGGUGCAUAAUUACUACGUAGUAUAGUAGUAUAAUAAUUAUAUUUUGUAGUGAUAGGCCUACCAAGCUUCUUGAUAACUUGUUGUGUAAGAAAUAUAUUAAGUAUUAAAUCAACCUAUUAAAGUUAAGCUUUGUAGGUUAUAUAAAAAGCAAAGUUAAUUUCAAGUUACAGUUUAAUCAUUAAACUACUAUUUAUAUAAAUAUUAAAUAUGAAGUAUUUAUAUUUUUUAUUACACUAUAAUAGUAUUAUUGGUAAUAUAAGUAAUGUGAGUAUAAGUAGUAAAAGAAAUAUUUUUAAGGAACUCGGCAAAAAUGCUGUUCAACUGUUUACCAAAAACAUAACUAUAUGUUUUAAUAUAUAGCUGUUCUGCUCAAUGGUACAUCUAAAUAGCCGCAGUACUCUGACUGUGCAAAGGUAGCAUAAUCAGUUGGCUUUUAAUUGGAGUCUGGAAUGAACGAAAGCAUGGGUAGCAACUGUCUCAAUAUAAUAUUUUAUUGAAAUUGGUAUGCAAGUGCAAAAACUUGCUAUAAUAAAAAAGACGAGAAGACCCUAGAAACUUCUAAUAUUAUUUUGUUGGGGCGACAGAAUUACAUAUAACUAAUUUUAUAGUACAUGACGUUAUUCAGGAAGAUAAAGUUACUCUAGGGAUAACAGCAUAAUUUUUCAGUUUGUGACCUCGAUGUUGGACUAGGUAUAUAAUUUUUUAGAAGAAAAUUAAUAAAGCUCUGUUCGAGCAAUAAAACCUACAUGAUCUGAGUU